rnacentral:rRNA from 1 species
GCAAGUCGAGGGGUAACAGAUGAAGAGCUUGCAUAGAUUGCUGACGACCGGCGCACGGGUGAGUAACACGUAUGCAACCUACCUUUUACAAAGGGAUAGCCCAGAGAAAUUUGGAUUAAUACCUCAUAAUAUUUUUAACUCGCAUGAGUUUUAACUUAAAACUUCGUUGGUAAAAGAUGGGCAUGCGUUGUAUUAGUUUGUUGGUGAGGUAACGGCUUACCAAGACUACGAUAGAUAGGGGUUCUGAGAGGAUAGUC